GUGCCAGCAGCCGCGGUAAUACAGAGGUGGCAAGCGUUGUUCGGAAUUACUGGGCGUAAAGGGCGCGUAGGCGGCCCGCCAAGUCCCGUGUGAAAGCCCUCGGCUCAACCGAGGAACGGCGCGGGAAACUAGCAGGCUUGAGUUCGGGAGAGGGAAGCGGAAUUCCGGGUGUAGCGGUGAAAUGCGCAGAUAUCCGGAGAAACACCGGUGGCGAAGGCGGCUUCCUGGACCGACACUGACGCUGAGGCGCGAAAGCUAGGGGAGCAAACGGGAUUAGAUACCCUGGUAGUCCACGCUGUAAACGAUGGGCACUAGGUGUUGGAGGUAUCGACCCCUUCCGUGCCGCAGCUAACGCAUUAAGUGCCCCGCCUGGGGAGUACGGCCGCAAGGUUGAAACUCAAAGGAAUUGACGG
rnacentral:rRNA from 1 species